rnacentral:tRNA from 1 species
GCGGGGGUAGCUCAAUUGGUAGAGCGCUAGCCUUCCAAGCUGGAUGUCGCGGGUUCGAAUCCCGUCUCCCGCU